rnacentral:tRNA from 1 species
GCGCUCGUAGCUCAGCAGGAUAGAGCGCCACCCUGCGGAGGUGGAGGCCGUGAGUUCGAAUCUCGCCGAGCGCACCA